rnacentral:rRNA from 1 species
GACGAACGCUGGCGGCGUGCCUAAUACAUGCAAGUAGAACGCUGAAGGAGGAGCUUGCUUCUCUGGAUGAGUUGCGAACGGGUGAGUAACGCGUAGGUAACCUGCCUGGUAGCGGGGGAUAACUAUUGGAAACGAUAGCUAAUACCGCAUAAUAGUAGAUGUUGCAUGACAUUUGCUUAAAAGGUGCAAUUGCAUCACUACCAGAUGGACCUGCGUUGUAUUAGCUAGUUGGUGGGGUAACGGCUCACCAAGGCGACGAUACAUAGCCGACCUGAGAGGGUGAUCGGCCACACUGGGACUGAGACACGGCCCAGACUCCUACGGGAGGCAGCAGUAGGGAAUCUUCGGCAAUAGACGGAAGGCUGACCGAGCAACGCCGCGUGAGUGAAGAAGGUUGUCGGAUCGUAAAGCUCUGUUGUAAGAGAAGAACGAGUGUGAGAGUGGAAAGUUCACACUGUGACGGUAUCUUACCAGAAAGGGACGGCUAACUACGUG